rnacentral:rRNA from 1 species
UGAGGAAUAUUGGUCAAUGGGCGCAAGCCUGAACCAGCCAUCCCGCGUGCAGGAAGACGGCCCUAUGGGUUGUAAACUGCUUUUGUCAGGGAAUAAACCUUUGUACGAGUACAGAGCUGAAGGUACCUGAAGAAUAAGCAUCGGCUAACUCCGUGCCAGCAGCCGCGGUAAUACGGAGGAUGCAAGCGUUAUCCGGAUUCAUUGGGUUUAAAGGGUGCGCAGGCGGAUUGGUAAGUCAGGGGUUAAAUCCCACAGCUCAACUGUGGAACUGCCCUUGAUACUGUCAGUCGAGAGUAUAGUUGAAGUUGGCGGAAUGUGUCAUGUAGCGGUGAAAGGCUUAGAUAUGACACAGAACACCGAUCGCGAAGGCAGCUAGCUAAGCUAUAACUGACGCUCAUGCACUAAAGCGUGGGGAUCAAACA